rnacentral:rRNA from 1 species
GUAGUCCACGCCGUAAACGAUGAGUGCUAGGUGUUGGGGGCGUAACGCCCCCAGUGCCGAAGGAAACCCAAUAAGCACUCCGCCUGGGGAGUACGACCGCAAGGUUGAAACUCAAAGGAAUUGACGGGGGCCCGCACAAGCGGUGGAGCAUGUGGUUUAAUUCGAUGCAACGCGAAGAACCUUACCAGGACUUGACAUCCCGCUGAUCGGUGUAGAGAUAUGCCUUUCCCUUCGGGGACAGCGGUGACAGGUGGUGCAUGGUUGUCGUCAGCUCGUGUCGUGAGAUGUUGGGUUCAGUCCCGCAACGAGCGCAACCCUUAUCUUUAGUUGCCAGCAGCUUGGCUGGGCAC